rnacentral:rRNA from 1 species
ACUCCUACGGGAGGCAGCAGUGGGGAAUUUUGCGCAAUGGGCGAAAGCCUGACGCAGCAACGCCGCGUGAGUGAUGAAGGCUUUCGGGUCGUAAAGCUCUGUCGAGGGGAAAGAAGUGUACUUUGGUUAAUACCCAUUGUACUUGACGGUACCCCUAAAGGAAGCACCGGCUAACUCCGUGCCAGCAGCCGCGGUAAUACGGGGGGUGCAAGCGUUGUUCGGAAUUAUUGGGCGUAAAGCGCGUGUAGGCGGUUUGAUUAGUCUGAUGUGAAAGCCCUGGGCUCAACCCAGGAAGUGCAUUGGAUACUGUCAGACUUGAAUACGGGAGAGGGUAGUGGAAUUCCUAGUGUAGGAGUGAAAUCCGUAGAUAUUAGGAGGAACACCGGUGGCGAAGGCGGCUACCUGGACCGAUAUUGACGCUGAGACGCGAAAGCGUGGGUAGCAAACAGGAUUAGAUACCCUGGUAGUCCACGCCGUAAACGAUGAGAACUAGGUGUCGCGGGUA